GACAGAGGGUGCAAACGUUGUUCGGAAUUACUGGGCGUAAAGCGCAUGUAGGCGGCCAAGCAGGUCGGAUGUGAAAUCCCUCGGCUCAACCAAGGAAGUGCAUUCGAAACCGCAUGGCUCGAGUCCCGGAGAGGAAGGUGGAAUUCUCGGUGUAGAGGUGAAAUUCGUAGAUAUCGAGAGGAACACCGGUGGCGAAAGCGGCCUUCUGGACGAGGACUGACGCUGAGAUGCGGAAGCGUGGGGAGCAAACAGG
rnacentral:rRNA from 1 species